GAUCCUGGCUCAGGAUGAACGCUAGCUACAGGCUUAACACAUGCAAGUCGAGGGGAAACGGCAUUGAGUGCUUGCACUCUUUGGACGUCGACCGGCGCACGGGUGAGUAACGCGUAUCCAACCUUCCCAUUACUGUGGGAUAACCUGCCGAAAGGCAGACUAAUACCGCAUAGUCUUCGAUGACGGCAUCAGAUUUGAAGUAAAGAUUUAUCGGUAAUGGAUGGGGAUGCGUCUGAUUAGCUUGUUGGCGGGGUAACGGCCCACCAAGGCAACGAUCAGUAGGGGUUCUGAGAGGAAGGUCCCCCACAUUGGAACUGAGACACGGUCCAAACUCCUACGGGAGGCAGCAGUGAGGAAUAUUGGUCAAUGGGCGAGAGCCUGAACCAGCCAAGUAGCGUGCAGGAUGACGGCCCUAUGGGUUGUAAACUGCUUUUGUAUGGGGAUAAAGUCAAUCACGUGUGAUUGUUUGCAGGUACCAUACGAAUAAGGACCGGCUAAUUCCGUGCCAGCAGCCGCGGUAAUACGGAAGGUCCAGGCGUUAUCCGGAUUUAUUGGGUUUAAAGGGAGCGUAGGCGGAUUAUUAAGUCAGUGGUGAAAGACGGUGGCUCAACCAUCGUUAGCCAUUGAAACUGGUAGUCUUGAGUGCAGACAGGGAUGCUGGAACUCGUGGUGUAGCGGUGAAAUGCUUAGAUAUCACGAUGAACUCCGAUCGCGAAGGCAGGUGUCCGGGCUGCAACUGACGCUGAGGCUCGAAAGUGUGGGUAUCAAACAGGAUUAGAUACCCUGGUAGUCCACACAGUAAACGAUGUAUACUCGCGGUUUGCGAUAUAUUGUAAGCCGCCAAGCGAAAGCAUUAAGUAUACCACCUGGGGAGUACGCCGGCAACGGUGAAACUCAAAGGAAUUGACGGGGGCCCG
rnacentral:rRNA from 1 species